CGACGUGGAUAACCUGCCUCACACAGGGGAGUAACAGUUAGAAAUGACUGCUAAUACCGCAUAAGCGCACGGCAUCGCAUGAUGCAGUGUGAAAAGCUCCGGUGGUGUGAGAUGGAUCCGCGUCUGAUUAGGUAGUUGGUGGGGUAACGGCCCACCAAGCCGACGAUCAGUAGCCGACCUGAGAGGGUGACCGGCCACAUUGGGACUGAGACACGGCCCAA
rnacentral:rRNA from 1 species